GACGGAGGGAGCUAGCGUUGUUCGGAAUUACUGGGCGUAAAGGGUGCGUAGGCGGUUACGUAAGUCAGAGGUGAAAUUCCCGAGCUUAACUUGGGCGCUGCCUUUGAUACUGCGUGACUAGAGAUUGAGAGGGGUAGGUAGAAUUCCUGGUGUAGAGGUGAAAUUCGUAGAUAUCAGGAGGAAUACCGGUGGCGAAGGCGGCCUACUGGCUCAUAUCUGACGCUGAGGCACGAAAGCGUGGGGAUCAAACAGG
rnacentral:rRNA from 1 species